CUCAUUAAGAAUAGGUGGCUACUCUCCGAAGAGGAAGAGUUCUCUACCUGAUACAGAUAUUGGAUGCUAAAGCCAAAAUAUUGCAUACUAGUGCCAAAUCUCAUAGAUUAUCGUCUCCAUACCGUUUAUUUUCAGAAUGUCCUCUGUAUUUCUUUACUUUCAGACUGUUGAACCUAUUUUCUUUCUACUUCUAGUUGCAACAUAUUAACUUGUUUGAAGG